UUUGAUCCAAGAUCAGCAUGCAGCUGUAGUGCUUCUAAGUCCCUGUGAUAAGGUUAGCGAUAAACUGAACAGAACUACGCUCUCUUCUACCAUUGUCUUAAAUGUCUUUAAAUGGUCUCGUUGCAAAAGCUAAAUUGUCGCUGGGGGAAUUUGAAGCACCUGUGUGCCGAUCUUGGAGUAAACUGACGAUAGCAAAGAUUAUAAUAAACACCACAGAAACGGAAUUGGUGCUCGCUAGCUCUGCAAAUGCAGCUAGUGUGGGAAGCCAGCAAAUAUAAAAUGACAACAUAAACUAUAUUAAAAUUACAAAAGGUUGCAGCUUACGUUGUGUAAAUGGUGAACUCAUACAGCUGUCAACCCUUGUUACAGCAAUCCGUUCACAUUUGCUAGCUGACCAGCUAGCUUCCUUGUAGAUCGAAGCCCAUUAUAGAAUGAUAGAAGCUAAUAGAUGAUAGAAGCCCAUCUCCUACUGUAAAUAACCUACACACUAUGUGUGUAGCCAGCCAGCCAGGUAGAAAAAUGACAGAAAAAAGACGGACAUCAGAGCAUUUUUCAGUACACCAAAACGCAAGCCAGAGCAGGCAACAGAUGGCACACAGACAGCAGAGCUGGGGACAGAUCUGCAGAGACAGACUGGCAGAGACAGACUGGCAGAGACAGUCUCAGGAAGCGGAAGGGGUCGUUCUCCUGGGCGAGGGUCUGGAUGCCACUGUGGACAUCCUGCAGACGGGACUGGUCCUGGACCGCCUUGGCUAUGUUCCGCUGGAUGCUGGGGCCACACUCGACCCCGUGGGAGCAGGAAC